AUAAUAUCAUAGAAUCAACAAAAUAACACGAAAAGAGUAUUUCCAUACAUGCAUUACAAAAAUGAUGAAUGAUGAAUUUCCGUUCACAAAUGCCAAAAUAAAUUGUGCAACUACCCAUAUGAUUCAUCAGAAUUUCGAUAUCAAUGCACUCAAAUCACUAUAUGGGCAUAUUUAACAUGUAAAAUUCCUUCACGUUUUCUUGUAAAUACUCGAAAAUAUUCAUUUCUUCUUGACAAAUUUUAAUGGCCUUAUCGGUUUUUUCGAGAACCCUAAAGGAGGGUUGUGUUUUACCUUGAUCAAAUUGCUCAUAACAUCAACACAAUGUCUCACAACUUUCUUGAAUUUCACUCCACUUUCGUUUCGAAAAAUCACCAGAUCUUGUUUCUUCUCUUCUUCCUUGACCUCUAAGUGUUGAGCAAGUGGACAUCUGCCUUCAAUCAGCUCCUUCAAGCUUUUCUGCUGAUGAUGAUCAUCUUUCUUAUGUCCUUCAUAAACCUUUUCUUCUUCCCCUAAACACUUCUUUUCUUCAAAACACGCACUUCCAAAUGGCUCUAUUUUGAGAUUGUUAGGCCUUCUAGUUCUUCUUGACAUAGUUAUAUUGUAGUGGGGUUUACCAGAAUUAUGCUUGGUUUCGUCUGCCAUUUUUGGGAUUGUGUGUGUAAAUGACCAAAGAGUGAGAUAAAU
rnacentral:lncRNA from 1 species